CAAUAGCGUAUAUUUAAGUUGCUGCAGUUAAAAAGCUCGUAGUUGGAUUUCGGGUGGGAAUGGCCGGUCCGCCGUUUCGGUGUGCACUUGCUACGCCCACCUUGCUGCCGGGGACGUGCUCUUGAGUUCACGCUCGGGACACGGAGUCGGCGAGGUUACUUUGAGUAAAUUAGAGUGUUCAAAGCAGGCCUACGCUCUGAAUACAUUAGCAUGGAAUAACACGAUAGGACUCUGGCCUAUCUUGUUGGUCUGUAGGACCGGAGUAAUGAUUAAGAGGGACAGUCGGGGGCAUUCGUAUUUCAUUGUCAGAGGUGAAAUUCUUGGAUUGCCGAAAGACAAACUGCUGCGAAAGCGUCUGCCAAGGAUGUUUUCAUUGA
rnacentral:rRNA from 1 species